rnacentral:rRNA from 1 species
UACAGAGGGUGCGAGCGUUAAUCGGAGUUACUGGGCGUAAAGGGCGCGUAGGCGGUGAUAUGAGUGUGAUGUGAAAGCCCCGGGCUUAACCUGGGAAGUGCAUCGCAAACGAUAUGACUAGAGUAUAUGAGAGGGUGGCGGAAUUUCCGGUGUAGCGGUGAAAUGCGUAGAGAUCGGAAGGAACGUCAAUGGCGAAGGCAGCCACCUGGCAUAAUACUGACGCUGAGGCGCGAAAGCGUGGGGAGCGAACAGG